GACGAACGCUGGCGGCGUGCUUAACACAUGCAAGUCGAACGGAAAGGCCCUGCUUUUGUGGGGUGCUCGAGUGGCGAACGGGUGAGUAACACGUGAGUAACCUGCCCUCGACUUUGGGAUAACUUCAGGAAACGGGGGCUAAUACCGGAUAGGAGCUCCUGCUGCAUGGUGGGGGUUGGAAAUUUUCGGCGGUUGGGGAUGGACUCGCGGCUUAUCAGCUUGUUGGUGGGGUAGUGGCUUACCAAGGCUUUGCCGGGUGGCCGGCCUGAGAGGGUGACCGGCCACAUUGGGACUGCGAUACGGCCCAGACUCCUACGGGAGGCAGCAGUGGGGAAUAUUGCCCAAUGGGCGGAAGCCUGAUGCAGCAACGCCGCGUGCGGGAUGACGGCCUUCGGGUUGUAAACCGCUUUCGCCUGUGACGAAGCGUGAGUGACGGUAAUGGGUAAAGAAGCACCGGCUAACUACGUG
rnacentral:rRNA from 1 species